rnacentral:rRNA from 1 species
AACGAACGCUGGCGGCAUGCCUAACACAUGCAAGUCGAACGAGACCUUCGGGUCUAGUGGCGCACGGGUGCGUAACGCGUGGGAACCUGCCCUUAGGUUCGGAAUAACUCCCCGAAAGGGGUGCUAAUACCGGAUAAUGUCUUCGGACCAAAGAUUUAUCGCCUUUGGAUGGGCCCGCGUUGGAUUAGCUAGUUGGUAGGGUAAAAGCCUACCAAGGCGACGAUCCAUAGCUGGUCUGAGAGGAUGAUCAGCCACACUGGGACUGAGACACGGCCCAGACUCCUACGGGAAGCAGCAGUGGGGAAUAUUGGACAAUGGGCGAAAGCCUGAUCCAGCAAUGCCGCGUGAGUGAUGAAGGCCUUAGGGUUGUAAAGCUCUUUUACCCGGGAUGAUAAUGACAGUACUGGGAGAAUAAGCUCCGGCUAACUCCGUG